AGCAGUAGCCGCGGGAAUACCGAGGGUGCUAGCGUUAAUCGGAUUUACUGGGCGUAAAGCGUGCGUAGGCGGCUAAUUGAGUCGGAUGUGAAAUCCCCGAGCUUAACUUGGGAAUUGCAUUCGAUACUGGUUAGCUAGAGUGUGGGAGAGGAUGGUAGAAUUCCAGGUGUAGCGGUGAAAUGCGUAGAGAUCUGGAGGAAUACCGAUGGCGAAGGCAGCCAUCUGGCCUAACACUGACGCUGAGGUACGAAAGCAUGGGGAGCAAACAGGAUUAGAUACCCCUGUAGUCCCUGUCUCUUAUAC
rnacentral:rRNA from 1 species